UACGGGGGAUGCAAGCGUUAUCCGGAUUUAUUGGGUUUAAAGGGUGCGUAGGCUGUGAGGUAAGUCAGCGGUGAAAUGCCCCCGCUCAACGGGGUGAAGUGCCAUUGAUACUGCCUUGCUGGAAUGCGGAUGCCGUGGGAGGAAUGUGUGGUGUAGCGGUGAAAUGCAUAGAUAUCACACAGAACACCGAUUGCGAAGGCAUCUCACGAAUCCGCUAUUGACGCUGAUGCACGAAAGCGUGGGUAGCAAACAGG
rnacentral:rRNA from 1 species